AUACUUACUGGCAGGGGAGAUACCAUGAUCAAGAAGGUGGUUCACCCAUGGCGAGGCCUGGCAUUGCACUCCGGUGGGGCUGACCUAUGCGAAUUCCCCAAAUGUGGGAAUCUCGACUGCAUAAUUGUGUGGUAGUGGGGACUGCGUUCGCGCUCUCCCUGA
rnacentral:snRNA from 1 species